rnacentral:rRNA from 1 species
UACGUAGGGCGCAAGCGUUAUCCGGAAUUAUUGGGCGUAAAGAGCUCGUAGGCGGUUUGUCGCGUCUGCCGUGAAAAGUCCGGGGCUCAACUCCGGAUCUGCGGUGGGUACGGGCAGACUAGAGUGAUGUAGGGGAGACUGGAAUUCCCGGUGUAGCGGUGAAAUGCGCAGAUAUCGGGAGGAACACCGGUGGCGAAGGCGGUUCUCUGGGCCUUACCUGACGCUGAGGAGCGAAAGCGUGGGGGAGCGAACAGG